GGGGAAUAAGUCUCUGCAGCGUUGUAGUGAAGAGAGAAUACGGGACAACUGCAGGACCACAGCUCAGCCAAGAGCUCCCUUGCAGCUGAGUUGGCCAUAUGACUGACAGCAAGCCCUGGAAUGCAGCCAGAAGUGAUAGAAGCCUCUUUCACACCAUGCUCCUAAAAUAUUCCAAGAAAUUUUCCAAACCUACUCUUUUUAGUCUGUGCAUCUGGAAGUGAAAGUUUUAGAAAGGGUAAAGUCACUUAAUGGAAAGGGCCCAGAUCUAGCCCCUCGGAGCCAAGCUGUCCAACUAGAAAUUCUGCAUUAGUAUUUGCGACCCCAGUAAAAAAAAAAAAGUCCCACAAAGAUGUAGGAUCUCACUUUGCCUGCGUUAAUUCCCUGUCCUUUGCCCAGUUUCUCCUCUCUUGGAAGGCAGAGGCAGCUUCUGAUUUUGAUCACUUCAUGUCCAGCAGAUCUUUGGAGAGAAAAUGCCAAGAGUGGAUGGAGAGGCAAUGGUGAAGCUGAGGCUGAAGUCGGAGGAAGCUGUGAACCCUGCAUGGGGUACCUGAACACCAGGGCAAGUUUCUGGCCCAGAAUGGCUUCUGGGAAAGGGGUCUCGACCCAGCAUUGGAGCUGAAGGAAGUUAAGAAUUAUUGAAACAUCUUGGCUCAAGCAUUGCCUGUGGAUGAUCACAGAUGAACCAUUUCUGGUGCAGAAAAGGCUCCGAUGCUGCUUUUAUGAAGGAACAUAAUGCUAGCUUGGAGAUCACACAAUUGCAGACCUCUUUCCUUCGGUUGGGAAAUAUACUGAAGAACAGAAGAUAUGAGGUUGUUGUAUCCUAGGAAAGAAUGUCAGCCUCUUGCAUCCCCUACAAUUGGUGAGAGAAGCCCUGACCUCAAUAGCAUGAGAAGACCUGGAUUCUGAUGCGAGCUCCACUAGCAGCCUGCUCUCCUGACUCCCCAGUGAUCAUUUCUCCUGUGUACUCUGGGGCUGAUACCUACCCUGUCUUCCUGCUUUGCCCUUGAGGACUUUAGAUGAGCAAAAUGCAAGAGACAUUCCUAUGAAAGGUGUGUGGCAUCAUGCAAUGUGUAGUAUUUAUAAUCCUUUUGUCCACUCGGCCUUGUCACCCUUACAAAGACAAUACAUCUCACCUUGGUACCCAACUGCCUUUUGCUUCUCAGUGCUAGAGGUGCUACUGCUGUCUAUAACCACACUUCUCUUCCUUUUCAUUCUCUGCUUAUUGGUACAUUUCUAAAUGGAGACAAUUUCUGGACAGUUACAUUGUAAGGAGGAAAGCUCUUCUUUCAAAAGUUAUGGAAAGAUCAGCUCUAAGUGAGGGCAGUGCCAUUCAUUCAUUAAACCACUCUUUAUGGAGUGGGUACUGUGAGCCCACCACUAUGCUGUUAUGCACUUGAAUUCAGCAGUGAACAGCACAGGCAAGGUCCCUGCUCUUGUGAAACUUAUAUCUUGAGUUGAGAGGAGAACAAGAGAGAAAUAGAGUAGAAAAGAAAACAAAAAUAAACCAGAUAACCACACAGUGCGGUGAGAACUGUAUGUAGAGUUCUGAUACAAGCCCCAGAUAGGCCACGACUUUGGGGAGGGGGAAACACCAACAUGCACAUAGUAAAUUCCCUGUCAACCUGCAAUUGACCUGGGAAACUGCACUCCUCAAAAAGUGACUUCAUGUAGGUUCCUUUUGAAUGGGCACUUGUGAUCACAUAACCCAGUGAGUGAAAAGUCACUUGGCAGUGUAGAGACCUGUGUCUUCAUAUCUGAAAUGCCAAAAAGUAGGGUUUAAUAUGUUGUUUUCAUUUUAAUUAUAUUUGUGUUCAUCCACAAGUAUAGAAGCUAAAAAAGUAAAAAGGAUGAAAAAUGCAUUAGUUAUCCUAUUUCCAUGAUUCUACCCUCUUGCCUAAAGACCUUCUCCAAUUUUUCUAUC
ensembl:lncRNA LINC00499 long intergenic non-protein coding RNA 499